AAAACAGGGGAGCUCGUUAGCGGGCUGAGAGGAAGUAAUCGAACUUCGACCCUUUAACCUGAUGCGGAUAAUGCCGUCGUAGGAAGUCAUGAGAUGA
rnacentral:ncRNA from 1 species